rnacentral:rRNA from 1 species
UACGUAGGGGGCAAGCGUUGUCCGGAUUUAUUGGGCGUAAAGAGCGUGUAGGCGGCCAGACAGGUCCGUUGUGAAAACUGGAGGCUCAACCUCCAGCCUGCAGUGGGUACGGGCAGACUAGAGUGCGGUAGGGGAGAUUGGAAUUCCUGGUGUACCGGUGGAAUGCGCAGAUAUCAGGAGGAACACCGAUGGCGAAGGCAGAUCUCUGGGCCGUAACUGACGCUGAGGAGCGAAAGCGUGGGGAGCGAACAGG